CCUACGGGGGGCUGCAGUGAGGAAUAUUGGUCAAUGGACGAGAGUCUGAACCAGCCAAGUAGCGUGAAGGAUGACUGCCCUAUGGGUUGUAAACUUCUUUUAUAUGGGAAUAAAAUGUUCCACGUGUGGGAUUUUGUAUGUACCAUAUGAAUAAGGAUCGGCUAACUCCGUGCCAGCAGCCGCGGUAAUACGGAGGAUCCGAGCGUUAUCCGAAUUUAUUGGGUUUAAAGGGAGCGUAGGUGGAUUGUUAAGUCAGUUGUGAAAGUUUGCGGCUCAACCGUAAAAUUGCAGUUGAAACUGGCAGUCUUGAGUACAGUAGAGGUGGGCGGAAUUCGUGGUGUAGCGGUGAAAUGCUUAGAUAUCACGAAGAACUCCGAUUGCGAAGGCAGUUCACUGGACUGCAACUGACACUGAGGCUCGAAAGUGUGGGUAUCAAACAGGAUUAGAUACCCGUGUAGUC
rnacentral:rRNA from 1 species